rnacentral:rRNA from 1 species
GAUGAACGCUGGCGGCGUGCCUAAUACAUGUAAGUCGAGCGAACGUACGAGAAGCUUGCUUCUCUGAUGUUAGCGGCGGACGGGUGAGUAACACGUGGAUAACCUACCUAUAAGACUGGGAUAACUUCGGGAAACCGGCGCUAAUACCUGAUAAUAUUUUGAACCGCAUGGUUCAAAAGUAAAAGACGGUCUUGCUGUCACUUAUAGAUGGAUCCGCGCUGCAUUAGCUAGUUGGUAAGGUAACGGCUUACCAAGGCAACGAUGCAUAGCCGACCUGAGAGGGUGAUCGGCCACACGGGAACUGAGACACGGUCCAGACUCCAACGGGAGGCAGCAGUAGGGAAUCUUACGUAAUGGGCGAAAGCCUGACGGAGCAACGCCGCGUGAGUGAUGAAGGUCUUCGGAUCGUAAAACUCUGUUAUUAGGGAAGAACAUAUGUGUAAGUAACUGUGCACAUCUUGACGGUACCUAAUCAGAAAGCCACGGAUAACUACGUG